UCUUGUGGAGCGAUAAUCCUGAUCCUGAUGGUAUUACUGGGUCUGUGUCUGUUGUGGAUCAAUAAACAAGCAGGCUACUCAGCUUCAUGCGAUCCAUGUGCAUCCAGUGAGCAGACAAAUGAAGACAUAGUGGAGGAACAGCAGGUGCAGACAGAGGGAGAGGAUCUGGAAGCACAAUAUGG